GUGAGUAUUAUGGGGAAAUAAGGACUAUUGCUUUGAGAGCCCUUGAUUAUGACCUUAAACUCAUUAAAUUUUGAGAUGGAAGUGCAUCUUGGGAUUUCACUUUUGGGAUAACUGUGCAACUUGGAGAAACAUUCAACUUUGUAAUUCUCCUGAUGAGACCAGAACAGUUCAGGUAUCCUAUUCUCUUACCUAUAGAGAUAUAUGCUGUCAAUAUCCUGAUAUUUUAGCUUUGUUUAACUUCAAUUCUAGACGGAUGGUUUGCAGCACUAUAAAUUUAUUGGCUAAACCUUGCAAAAUAGUUGCCUCAUAAUAUCUUUAUUAUUUUUUUGGGUUGAAGUAAGAGGUGUAACUGCCUCAUAUUGUUUCAGCUUAAUUUUGGAUUUGGAAAAUCUGGUCUGAAAUAUGGAGGUUUGAAUUUCUUAACUAUGAGAAUGCAAAAGCUUAAGCCGCAUCUAGACUUGAAGAGGUGUUGAUCUACUAAAAGUCAUGCCCUUGUCGAGGCUAAGAUAUGGUUUUUGAGUUUUGGCAGUUAAGCUUCCAACUUUUUGUACUGAGAGUCUGAGAUCGAUGAUAUCAGUGGCUUUAGAAUCCCAAAUAUGAGCAGAAGACCAAGAUUUAAAGCGGAUACUACAUAUCGUGUGACCACGUGUUAAAUAAUGCAAAUAGACAAUAAGAUGCCAAGGACUGCAUCUUCUUAACAAAGUGGAGAGUUGAUAAGCCCCCAAGGCCUAGCUCAAGUGGCAAAAGGUGGAGGAUUUGUGGCUUAGGUCGCAGGUUCAAGCCCCACACCAUGCAAAGCGAAGCCCGGUAUUUAAGUGGAGAAGGGUAGAGGGGCGGGCCCAUUAUCCACCGAGUUUGGAAGGCUGUGAUUGGUCCAAAGGGCGGGUCACAGACGGAUUUCUCGGUUAUCAAAAAAAAAAAGAAAAAAAAAAGUGGAGAGUUGAUAAAUCCUUCCACACCAUGGGACUUAGCACUAGUGCGCCAUGCACUGGGGUUUUGUGUGCACGAAUGCCUACUUAAUUUAUCCCUUGGUAGCAUUUUUGCUGGAUUAGGUGUGUCAUUCAAUAAGGGGUCGUUUGGUAGAGUGUAUUAGGAAAAAUAACGCAAAUGCAUUGUGUAUUACUAGUACCUUGUUUGGUACUCUUUUCCAACCUAUGUAUAACUAAUGCUUGCAUUAGUUAUACACUCUAUUGUGUAUUAAGGUGUGUAUUGCUAAUACCAUGGAUUUCUAGGUAUUAGCAAUGCAAUGGUUUUAAUGCAUGCAUUAGAUUAACUAAUGACAAAACUACCCUCUAAGCCUAAUAAUAAUAAUUAUUAUAAUAAUAAUAAUGUGGGGGUAUUUUGUAAACAAAUAUUUUUAAUAGUCUUUAUACAAGGCUUGCUAUUUCCAAUACAUCAAACCAAACAAUGUAUAAGAAAUAAUGCAAGCAUAACUAAUGCAAGCAUUACUAAUGCUUGCAUUACUAAUGCAUGCAUUACUAAUACAUCAUAUUCAGCAUUAUUCUUAUACACUCUACCAAACGACCCCUAAAUGUAUUAAUCAUUUCUCUUGCUGUGUUUUCCUGUCACUCUCAUUCAAUCAGCAAAAAUUAUGUGUCAACUAGCUCAGGGUGCUUCAGUUUAGGUUUUAAUAGUUCUGAUCGGUUUUUCCAUAGCUGUAGAACUGGGACAGUCGAAUUCUCAACCAUGGUGUAGUUCACUUAUCUGUAUCUUGUGUGGCAGGAUGGUGGUGGACUGCAGAAGCAAUGGAUUGAUAGAGUAACAUUGCUAACAUUACAUAAUAGACAAUUUCAAAGGACUGAUACUUGUUGCAUGAUCUGGUAAGGUUUAAGAUUAUUUUGAUUUAGUUCCAGAACUCAAACCUCAAGUCCCAUGACCUGUAUUACAGGAAUUAUCUGUCGAAGCAUUAAGUAGGCCCACCUCUACACUUGAAAGCAAUAAAACAGACAUUUGGAGGAGGGAGAAGAUGAACAUACUACAGGGAUUUGUUCCAUACAGCACGGAGUCGGUAAACAUUAAUUGCACUGCUGAAUUUAAGGACACUGUUCCUCCUCUCUUGCAGCAACUUUGUGAUAUUGUGCCAAUUCUAGGUUUGAACUACUGCAGAAAUGUUUUAUACCACUCAAUGGAAGAUUGCAUUACAAGGACCUGUUCUUACCACACAUUGACUUUUAAAAUUAAGUUCUUUAAUCGAGGAGUGGCAAAUCCACACUGCAGUAAAAGAUGGUUGUGAUGCAGGAUGAGAUGGGUGUUACCAGGAGGAUUCAUUGUUAUUUAGUGAUCAUCAAUCCAGAGUGUAGUGCACCUAUGGCUUAUCCUUCAUUUAACACAAGACUACGACAUAGGUGUUAGUGUAAUUUAUCAAAACAAGUGUGGUCAGGUUGUGGC
rnacentral:lncRNA from 1 species